CCUACGGGUGGCAGCAGUGAGGAAUAUUGCUCAAUGGGCGGAAGCCUGAUCCAGCCACGCCGCGUGGGUGAAGAAGGUCCUGCGUAUCGUAAACCUCUUUUGUAAGGGAACAAAGGCGGGGACUAGUCCCCGGAUGCGGGUCCAUGAAGAUAAAGCAUCGGCUAACUCCGUGCCAGCAGCCGCGGUAAUACGGAGGGUGCGAGCGUUAUCCGGAUUUAUUGGGUUUAAAGGGUGUGUAGCCGGGUUGACAAGUCAGAUGUGAAAGCCUGGGGCUUAACCGCAGAACUGCAUUGGAAACUGUUGAGCUGGAGUGCGGGAGGGGCAGACGGAAUUCCUGGUGUAGCGGUGAAAUGCGUAGAUAUUAGGAGGAACACCAGUGGCGAAGGCGGUCUGCUGGACAGCAACUGACGUUGAGGCGCGAAAGCGUGGGGAGCAAACAGGAUUAGAUACCCGAGUAGUC
rnacentral:rRNA from 1 species